rnacentral:lncRNA from 1 species
CACAGGAGCCACAACAGGUUCAUCUGUUUCCGGUGACGCAUCGGCCACUUGGCUCACUUCAUCAAGGAUUCUUGCUGAACUGGCACAGCCAAAGGCAAGGACUAGCAGCAAAAUGCAGAACAUGGCUCGGAUUGUUUUAGAGGUGAGUUUGUUAACUUUCGCCAUCUUUUCUUGAAAACAGUGCUACGAUAAGAUAUUAGAAGAAACAAAUGAAGUAGAGUCGAUUCUCAAUUGAUGAUGAAAGACUGGUGUCUCAAUGGUUAUAUAUAGUUUUGUUACAUCCUAAUAAUAAGUGGAGUUGCUAAGGUGGUUUUGGUAAGGACUAAUAAGAUACCCUUUGCAGAAUACCAAAUCCAAAAUGGACAUUAGGUUCGGUUGAACCACUCCGAAAACUUUUUUCUGAUUUUAUCUAGACAGUUAUGUUACCAAAUAUUUUUAGGAGUAAAUCGUAUCGAUGUUCAUAUACUAGGGACUUCACAGAAACUUCCAUCUUUUCAACAUCUACAGUUGGAGUUGCCAUAGUCUCGUUCUUCCUGUAUUUCCGAGCUUUAGGAAAAAACAUACUUCCUCCAUUUCAAUGUGUUUGUCUUACUUUCCUUUUUAGUCCGUUCCAAAAAGAACGUCUCUUUCCUUUUUUGACAACUCUUUAAUUCUAACUUUCCGCAUGACAUGUUUAAGACCAUAAGAUUAACGGACAUUUUGGUACAUUCUACAUAUAUUUCGUUUGUGACGACAUGAUUCAAAAGUCUUUUUUAUUUUGUUAAAUUCCGUGUCAAGUCAAACCAGACAAACAAAUUGAAACGGAGGGAGUAAUUCUAGCGGCCGAGUCCAACUUAAGUUUCCUCAUAGAUGAUAAAAUAUAGAAAUUGCAGUAAAUCUCGUUGAAGGCAGAAAAAUUCCGUGUUAUCGCACAAUUCCGGAAAAAAUGAGUUCCUAAACUCCGGAAUUCUCCAUAGGUUUCCUGUACCCGAUACUUAGCGUACAUCUUCAAGAAUCCUCAAAAUAUGUAUAAUCUAUUCGUCUUCCAACAUUAUUUGAUUUUCUUUUUUUCAACGUCUUUGCAGCUUAUUCUGUGCUCCUUAACUGGUAACAUCUGUUAACUGUUAACGUUAUGAAUUUAGUCAGUCGAUUUAACAAUAUUAUGUGUCCCUACUGAAGAUCUGUGCUGUUUAUGUAACAUCUCCCUUUGUAUCGAAACGAACGAAACGAACCAAAAGUUCCGAAAAAAAAAAAAAAGUAGUAUGCAAGAUAAAAGUGAUAGGAAAAAUUGUAAUCCUUCAAUAUAUGUUGAAUAAUUUAACCAAGAUAAACAUUGAAUGAAAGAAUCUUGUAUGGUCCUUCACUUUUAUUAGAUAUUACAUUGAUAAUCUUGACAGUAGCGUAGCCGUUUGCAUCGUGAUACUUUCCGGUACCACCAAUAACUGCUAUAUGUGAUUCAAAAACAUCGCCCCUAUGUACUCCGAAAAGCCUUAGACUAUCCUCGUACUCGUUACCAAGAAAACUAGCAGUCAUCGCCAUCAUGUGACUGCUACCGUCUUCUGAACUGUCUACAUAUACUCCUUUUGCUUUUCCCAUCAAAGAUGAACCGUAAAUGGAACCUUCAUAUAUGUCCUCAUCGAUUGCUGUCACUGUCGUUAGCUGUAGUUCUUCAAGUGUGGUUAUAGCCGGGAAUGUCAUGCUGAUCAUUCCGCUCAUUCCGACACUUGGAUUUGUGUUAGUCAACGGAAUGCCUCCUACCGGAGGGAAAUACCCUUGAUGAUGACUGUUUACUCUCGUCGAUGCAGGUCUUGAUGAAGGAUUUUUAUGGCUAAGAACAUCGAACAUGUAAAACGACAUCUCAUGACGCGCAUGAUUAUGAUGACGGUUCGUCGAGGACGGGUUGUUGUUCAGAGUUCUAGCUGAAAAUGAUUGAUUGAUCAAUGUCAAGAAGAAGAACAAGAACCAAGAAAUGACUAGUUUGGAAGGAGACUUUAGCUUUAACAUCUUGAUUGUUUUGUUGAAGACUUUGUGAACCAAGUUAAAAAGGGGAAUUCUAUAAUAUAUUUUUUCUCAAAAAAGUGGA